AUUAAAUUGAUACGGAAGAUUACAUUCUUUUUUUAUGUCCGCAGGGAGAGAAAGCAUAGCUGAAAGCUUUCUUGGCAGAGAAUAAGUGAUGACCACUUCCAUAAUGUUGCCUGACUUUUUGUUGGGUCGGAUUGAAUCCGUUAAAAUCUAUGGAGAAAUUUUUGUUUCGGCAAAGAUUUGAAUUUGGGUGGAACCACGUUAAUCGACGUCCCUAAU
rnacentral:ncRNA from 1 species